GACGAACGCUGGCGGCGUGCUUAACACAUGCCAGUCGAACGGAUAGGCCCUGCUUUUGUGGGGUGCUCGAGUGGCGAACGGGUGAGUAACACGUGAGUAACCUGCCCUUGACUUUGGGAUAACUUCAGGAAACUGGGGCUAAUAGCGGAUAGGAGCACCUGCGGCAUGGUGGGGGUUGGAAAGUUUCGGCGGUUGGGGAUGGGCCCCCGGCUUAGCAGCUUGUUGGGUGGGUGGUGGAUUAGCAAGGCUCUGACGGGUAGCCGGCCUGAGAGGGUGACCGGCCGCAUUGGAUCUGGGAUGAGACCCAGACUGCUACAGUAGGCAGCGGUGCGGAAUAUUGCACAACGCGCGGAAGCCUAAUGCAGUAACGCCGCGUGCGGGAUGACGGCCUUCGGGUUGGAAAGCGCUUUCGCCUGUGACGAAGCGUGAGUGACGGUAACGGGUAAAGAAGCAACGGCUAACUACGUG
rnacentral:rRNA from 1 species